GAGUCUUCAGGGAGUGGGCUGGACACAGAGGAGACCAUCACUUCGGGAGGAUUGUCAUUCACAUCCACCACUUCUACCAGGACUUUGCUGUGGGCAGAGAGGCCUCCACCAUCUGUAGCUUGAAUGUCAAUGUCGUAUGUUUCAAUGGCUUCAAAAUCGAGAGGGCCUCUUAGUCGAACCUCUCCAUUUUGAGGGUCAAUCUGAAACGUCUUGAGAAUUGCUUCUGGGUUUUGAGCUAAAGAGUAAGUUAUCGCUUUGUUGGUGCCCUCGUCUAGGUCCACGGCAGUCACCGUGGCCACCAAAGAGCCAUUGGGGCUGUUCUCUGAUACCUGGGCUCUGUACACCAGUCGCGAGAACUGGGGCACGUGGUCGUUGACAUCCAGAACCACCACGUGGAUGUGAGCUGUGCCAGACUUAGGCGGGGACCCGCCGUCCACCGCCGUAAUUGUCAAGUUGACUUCAGGCUGCUUCUCUCGGUCCAGGGGUUUGUUCAGCACCAGCUCAGCAUAUUUAGGCCCGUGGCUGCGGAAGCGGGUGUGCAGGUGGAAAUACCCAUUGGCACUCAGGGUGUAGUUCUGGAGACCGUUAAGGCCCACGUCCAGAUCCUGGGCGCUCUGCAGAGGAAAACGUGAACCCAAGGGGGUGCUCUCCGGAAUCUUUAAAAGCGGCUCCUUGUUUAGGAAAACUGGGGCAUUGUCAUUGAUAUCAAAUACCCUGACCUCGGCCCGGAAGGACUGCAGCGGCUCCACCAGGACUACUUCAAAGUGCAGAACACAAGGGUCGGCUUUGCCACAAAGUGACUCCCGAUCCAGUUUCUCCUUCACAAACAAAUCUCCCGUCUUGCGGUGGAGCCGGAAAUGCAUUUUGUUGCCCUCGGAAACCAGCCGCGCCCCGCGCGCAGCCAGCUUCCCUACCUCCAGUCCUAGGUCCUUAGCUACGUUGGCCACAAACGAGCCGCUCUCCAUUUCCUCCGCCACUGAAUAGCGGAUAGUUGUCGCACCCCCCACAGAUAUGCACAGAAAAAUGAGAAGAGAUCCCACUUGCCUGUUUUGCAAAGAUUUUCUGCGUGUACCCGCCAUCAGUUCUCACAAGCGCGCUCUCUGCAAUCAAAGCCAACUGUUGCGGAUAUACUUUCACUUUUCUGCAACAGGUUACUGCAACAGCAGCUCCUCGCUUCACUAGCCUCUAACUGCAGCACCACCAAAGGCUAGCCGAGCCCAUUAAGCUGUUUUGCACUUGAAAGAAAAUUUGCAUUGAGCGACUCAACUCCCCAGUCUAGCGAAUGUAUUAAUAGAUAUGUUCUCAUUCCGGAGAGUUAGGUAGAGGUUGAAAGUUUGUUGCCAAAGCAACAACAGACUCACCUGUUAAUUCCCUUUCAGGAAAAAAAGUCCUUGGGAAUUGAGAAGCCAAUGAGAUUAGUCGUUCAAGCUGAAGUCAUUCUAUCUGCUAGCUGUCUGGAGCCACUGAAGCUGUGGGCGAACAGCAACAAGUUUAAGCUACAUCUGCACACUCUGCGGUCCAGAGACCAAGAAAGAAGCACAAGGAUCCUGCAGAGUCUUCCGAAGCCCAAGCCAAAUAUAUGAGGCAGGGAGCUAGAGAAUGUGGAGGAAGUGGUCAGUAGGAAAAGGAAAGGGAACAGACAUUCUCCUUCAGAAACUUGAGGUCCAGUCCCUGAACUUUAGCUGGCCCCAAAACUUGAGCAAGCUCUAAAAAGCAGAACAUCUCCCACUUAACAGUUUAUUCUGAGAACUGGCCAACCACAGGAGGGAAAAUCAUAUCUCCAGUUAAAGUGCCCUGAUCAUGCCAUCUGCUCAUCUUACCCCCUUCGCCCUGCUCCCACACAAAGUUCCUGCUAGCCCUGUUUACAUCUUCUUUUUUAAACUCUAUUUUUAGACAUUUGAAGAUUUCCGUGGUCAGAGGGUCUGUAAUAGUCUUUUUUGAAUAAAGCUGCUCCUUACCUAAAUCCAGAUUUGUUUUCAUUGAAUAUAAUAAUAAAUGACCAUAUUACUUUCACC